rnacentral:misc_RNA from 1 species
UUGAUUUAUUUAAUCGUGUUACUCAGAAGAUACUGUAUAAAACAAGAGUUUGGGGGUCCUCUGGCGGGCCGCCGGAGCGGGCACCGCCGAGGCAACGAUAGGUAUGUUCACAGGGGUUUGGGAGUUGUAAACUCGGUAAUGAUCCCUCCGCUGGUUCACCAACGGAGA